UACAGAGGUCCCAAGCGUUGUUCGGAUUCACUGGGCGUAAAGGGUGCGUAGGCGGUCGGGUAAGUCUGAUGUGAAAUCUCAGAGCUCAACUCUGAAACUGCAUUGGAUACUAUUCGGCUGGAGAGUUGGAGGGGGGACUGGAAUUCUUGGUGUAGCAGUGAAAUGCGUAGAUAUCAAGAGGAACACCAGUGGCGAAGGCGAGUCCCUGGACAACUUCUGACGCUGAGGCACGAAAGCUAGGGGAGCAAACAGG
rnacentral:rRNA from 1 species